AAAGGACUAGAUUCGCUUAUGCAUGAAAUAUGCCUAAAUAUUUUGUAUUUUAUAAAACUUCAAAUUUUCAAGAAAUGAAACAAUUUUCUGGAAGAACAUCUUUAGCUUGUUGAUAUAUAUGAAAAACAGUAAAGAUAAUACAUCCGUUUCGUGCAAUAAAAUGCGCUUGAAGUAAGGGCUAAAACCCGUUUUCCGGUAUUUUGUAUCAGUUUUCGACGAUAAAUUGAAAAAUUUGAAUGGGGCACAGGUCUCGACCAAAAAACAAAAUACGUCAUUGUCAUUGUGGGUAUUUAUAAUUUACAAAAACAUAUCAAUAAUUUUGGUCGAGGCCUGUGCCCUUUAUGAAAAUUUAUAUUUUCCUUCCCCUGGUGUCUGUGCAAAAGCAAAUCAAAUGCAUAGAACAUCAAAGAUUUUUUCUGUAUUUUUAUAAAUUAUUUCUUGUUUUUGCGGUCAAACAUUGAGAUCGAAAGCAAUAAUCAUUAGUCAAAUAAAAUAUGUCUUCUUUUCUGUCUGUUUUUGUUAACUUAUUGAAUGAAAAGUGAAAAUCCAGCGGAUGAUGACAACGACGACGACAACAACAACAAAGCCAUUGUUUACACUUUACCUAGUAAAUCUAGAUAUCACCUAGAUCUGCUGGUUUAAAACAGUCAAUAACGUUUGUUUGUUUAUUUUGUGAGGAUUUAUUCUCGGAUCUAGGAAUGUAUUCCAGUCCAGAUAUGACUUGGUGAUUACCGUGACAGGGAGUAACCAAUUGUGGCGAUGUCGUAGUGGUCUAAGUGCCCGGCGCAUGAUCGUUUUAUAUGACUGAUCAGUUCCGUCUGGUGGUUCGACCCCUGAACGAGGAUGCCUGGAUCGGGUCCAAAGUUUUAUGCCUGUGCGGCGUGCAAGAAAAGAACUAAACCAAAAGAAAGAAGACACAUAAGCAAACCUAUAAUAAAAUAUCUUCAAACACGGUUAUUUGUUGAUGUUAAGACAAUGAAAUAAUUUGUAACAAAUGUAGACAUAAAUACUAUGCAUUAGAAUCAUCAUCUUUUACAAGAAAAAACAACAACCAGUCAGAUCCAGAUUAUGUUCCACCUGUUUCAACUUCUCAAUCAAAGGGAACAAAAACACCGACUAGUCCGCCAUCGGUAUCAUUAAAUAUAAAAACUACCAGUAAAACACAUUCAAGAUGUUUAGUCUGCAAAAGACCAGGGCCAAAAUUAGUUGUUCUGUCUUCAGAGGCCAGAUGUGCUGUCCAGUACACAUACAUGAAGGCCUGCUUUGUUCAGAUUCCUUAGAGAAUGUGCCGAUAAUAGAAACAGCAUUUCUAAACAGGACAUAUGUCCUAAAACUUAUAAAACAUUGAAGAGAAAUAUGCUGCUACAAACAAAACAAAUUGAAUUUUGAUGUCUUAAACGACGUAGAAUAUGAAAACUUAACAGGGCUUUCACGUUCUCAGUUUGAUGAUGUUUUUCGUCAUGUUGCCGACAAAAUUCUUAACUCUCCAUCACGUUCUUCCAGAACAUCUCUAGGCAUUUUUCUCCUGAAGAUGAAAUCGGGCUUGUCAAAUAAGCUAUUGUCUACUCUAUUUGGAAUUAGCAAGUCAAGUGUACGGAGAGCGAUUGUUGCCACAAAACAUGCGAUGAUGAGAGGAUUUGUGCCGUUAUAUCUUGGUUUUGAAAGCAUAACAAGGGAAGAUAUUAUAAACCAUCACACUAGACCGUUAGCCAAGUCUCUUUUUGAUGCAAAUGAUGGGAAAGUUAUUUUAGUUCUUGAUGGAACUUAUGUUUAUAUUCAGAAAAGUAAUAAUUUUAGCUUUCAAAGACGUUCAUAUUCAAUGCACAAAGGUCGUCCAUUAGUGAAGCCCAUGGUUAUUGUCACAACAACCGGAUACUUUGUUACAGUGAUGGGCCCUUAUUUUGCUGAUUCAAAGAACAAUGAUGCUUCUAUCCUGAAUCAUAUGUUGAAAACAAGUACUGAAGAGAUAAGGGACUUUAUUCAGAAGGAUGAUAUUUUCGUUGUCGAUAGAGGUUUCCGAUAUACAUUGAAUUAUUUCUUAUUUAAUAUAACAUUAUUGUAAAAGUUGGAAAUCAUAUUGUUUAAAUCACAAAACUUCUUUUAAAGUUCAAUGAAAAUUAUUGGCAUUCAGCUUAUAUUAAGUACGCUUUUUUAUUUUCCUCACCGUUACGCACUAUAAUAGUCCUCGCUCAGACGAUAUUUUUUUUUCAGACCGCUGACGUCAUCGUGAAUAGUAUACUUUUAAAGGCCCCUUUAUGUACCCGAAAUGCAAUACUUUCAUUUUUAUUUCUCAAAAUAUUUUUUAGUUUCAAACAAGUUACUCAUUGGUCUUCUUCAUUUGUUACUUUCAGGCAAUAAGUACAUAUAUAAUAACUUAGUAAUUUGUAUUGAAGUCAAAAUAUUACUUGUUUUCAUUACUUUUUUUCAUUGCUACAUUAAUGACAUAUUAGUAUAUUUACCGGUCUUUUGUUUAGGUAACAAGCAUCUUACAUGCUCUAAACCAUUAUUUAAAAGGUAUAAAAACAUCUUUGAUCUUUUAAAAAAAGGUAAAUAUUAUUCAUUUCUGAGUCAUACUGUGCCUUUAAAAGGCCGCUGACAAAACAUAUUCAUGUUAGGCAUGAUAUUGAUAGAAUAGUACCAUAGAUACCAUAGACAGGUGAAAUACUUCAUAUCUUGACAAUCGCUUUACAUAAUAUUGACUUGUUAGUGUUUCAUUUCCACAUUAGUCCUCGUUUUUGAAACAUAAGGCUAGUCAUUAGUUAUUAUGAAAUUAAUCUAGGUUGUUGAUGUAUUUGAGAAGAGACAAGUUUAAAUGUUUAAAUGUUGUGAUGAAUGAGAUUGUAAUAAAAUAUUUGUUGCGUCCUAAACAUGCUGUAAUUUUUUAUUUGAUAUUUUUCGAGACAUUUGAAUAUUAAUAGUUAUAAGUGGCAAAAUGCAAUGAUUUUGUUACUGCGUUAUUUAGAAUGUCUUGAAUGUUAUAAAAUAUAUUUAACGUUUUACUCUAACUUUUCGGCCUUUUCCGUCAUUCUUCGGAUAAGACUAUGUGUAUUUAUGAAACAUUGCCGACAUGUUCCGAUUGAUGUAAUAUCUGUUUCUGCAUCUUAUUAUCUUAUUAUGUUUAAGUUGUACUAACUAUAUAUUUAAAAACAACAUCAAAGUUUAUUGCCGUAAACUAUAUGCAGAAAAUUUAUACAUGUAUGUGCAUGCAAAUUCUAUUGCAUAUUUUUGAAAAUCUUUGUGGUCGUUAAAUGUAAAUAGAUUUUCUUCAGAAUAAAAGAUGGACACUAUCCAAUAGUUUAUGCAGCAGUAAUUUGAAUGUCACACCUGUUAUAAAGUAUGCUAGAUUGUUUAUUUUGUGUGAUGGGCAUUUUGAGGGAUCACCUUAUUAUUUUUAUUUCGUUUUGUUUAUAAUUCUGUAUUGUUAGAUGAUGAAUUCAUGUCAGUUUACGUAGCUGUUACACUAAAGUAAAUGAUUCAGUGUGUAACAUAACUUUAUCACAUAUCACAUGCCGCUUUUGCUGUUACAGUAAAAUAGUAUUGCACGGCAGGGCAUAUAUUUUGACGUGUCGUCCUUUGCGUUAUACGAUCAUAGCGUAAAGACGCAUGAAAUGUUAGCGUUACACUAUAAGUGU